AUGAUGAACGACAAAGAGAAAAGGGAGAGGCACCUGGUAUGUUCUCUAGGCCUUUUAGAAAACAUGGACUUGUUCUUUUGGCCACAUACCUGCAAAUCUAUAAGAAAGAUGAUAUUGGAGACAUCAAGGGAAUGGGUACUGUUCAGAAAGGAAGCCCCACAAGUGUUACCAUGGCAAAACUGCAAGAGUCUACGAUGUUACUCAGCAUGCUGUUGGCAUUGUAAACAAACAAGGUCAGGGCACGACUCUUGCCAAGAGAACUAAUGUGCGUGUUGAGCACAUUAAGCACUCUUAAGAGCCAAGAUAGCUUCCUGAAACAUGUGAAGGAAAAUGAUCAGAAAAAGAAGGAAGCCAAAGAGAAAUGUACCAGGGUUCAGCUGAAGAGCCAGCCUGUUCCCAGAGAAGCACACUUUGUGAGAAGCAGUGGAGAGGAACCUGAGCUGCUGGGGUGUCUCUCCUAUGAAUCCAUGGCAUGA
rnacentral:lncRNA from 1 species